CAUCUAAUACCCAGUACUGGGCCUCUAGUCCAUCACAGACACCUUAUCCUGGUCUCACACAUCUUGGACACACUGGACAUUACCGACACCGGCCCGGUCUGGCUCUGGUAGCCACAGACCGUAGCAGUGUAGAUGGCCGCAGCACCGAGGUCAAUGUCCCCUUACCGACGCCCAUACAGCCACAUGCCACACUCCAGCAUGCAGACAUCCAGUCCCAGGACGAGCCAACAGAACAUCUGACCAUGAAGCUUGCCAGGCUGUGGAUCCUACAGGUCUGCAAUCACAGAAAAAUCAUAUAAUUCUCCAUCCAUAUAAAGACUAGGGGACAUACUGGGAUCUGCUAACGCACUAGAGGAAAGAAUGGAGGGAGGAAAUGGAAGAAGAAGCUCAAUAAACAGAUUUAGAAAUCUGGGUUCAUUAAUAUGUAUUCAUGAUGUACUGACAGCCUGAACGACAUGCAGGCUCUGUAUCACAGAGAAACUGAGUCUUCAUACUGGGUAUGUUGUAUCAAAGUUUAAUGACCAUAAAACACUUCCACGAGUCAGUAAAGUCAGUCAGUAAAGUCUAACACUGGAUUGAAGGCAACAAUGUCAAAAAGGUAUUCAUUUUAAUAACAUAUUCUCGUAUAUUUAACUUCUAUUGUCCUUCAAGAGUGGCCGCAUUUUUUUUAUAUUGCAUGUCCAGUUUUUCAUUGGUAGGACUGUGAGGUAGAGACACAUCGUACAUUAUUAUGAAGGAGUUAGUGAAAUGGAAGUCUUUUGUGAUUAGUCAGAAACAUGUCAGAUUAAUUAUCAUAACUGUUAAUAUGGUGUCAUAUAUGCCCCAAUUACUUAAUGACCUAA
rnacentral:lncRNA from 1 species